AGCUUGAGGCAGAGUCAGAUCCAUAUCUGGGGUAUCGAUUCCUCCCUUUAUUUUGGGGCUUUUGAGAUUCAGGUCCGGGGAAUCAAAGUCUGCCUUAAACUUUGGAGCUGACAGAUCCAUUUCAGGGGUCUUUAAAUCAUAGUCAGGCGUCUUUAGUUUUGGUCCUGAGACACCAAACUUAGGCAUCUUU